rnacentral:rRNA from 1 species
UGAAACCGUGUGCCUACAACAAGUUCGAGCCCGUUAAUGGGUGAGAGCGUGCCUUUUGUAGAAUGAACCGGCGAGUUACGAUAUGAUGCGAGGUUAAGUUGAAGAGACGGAGCCGCAGGGAAACCGAGUCUGAAUAGGGCGCCUUAGUAUCAUGUCGUAGACCCGAAACCAUGUGACCUACCCAUGAGCAGGUUGAAGGUGCGGUAAGACGCACUGGAGGACCGAACCAGGGCACGUUGAAAAGUGCUUGGAUGACUUGUGGGUAGCGGAGAAAUUCCAAACGAACUUGGAGAUAGCUGGUUCUCUCCGAAAUAGCUUUAGGGCUAGCGUCGACAUAAAGAUUCUUGGAGGUAGAGCACUGUUUGGGUGAGGGGUCCAUCCCGGAUUACCAAUCUCAGAUAAACUCCGAAUGCCAAUGAAUUAUGGUCGGCAGUCAGACUGCGAGUGCUAAGAUCCGUAGUCGAAAGGGAAACAGCCCAGACCACCAGCUAAGGUCCCAAAAUAAUUGUUAAGUGGAAAAGGAUGUGGGGUUGCACAGACAACUAGGAUGUUAGCUUAGAAGCAGCUAUUCAUUCAAAGAGUGCGUAAUAGCUCACUAGUCGAGUGACCCUGCGCCGAAAAUGUACCGGGGCUAAAACAAUUUACCGAAGCUGUGGAUACCUUUAUAGGUAUGGUAGGAGAGCGUUCUAUGUGUGAAGAAGGUAUACCGUGAGGAGUGCUGGAACGCAUAGAAGUGAGAAUGCCGGUAUGAGUAGCGAAAGACAGGUGAGAAUCCUGUCCACCGUAAGACUAAGGUUUCCAGGGGAAGGCUCGUCCGCCCUGGGUUAGUCGGGACCUAAGGAGAGACCGAAAGGUGUAUCCGAUGGACAACAGGUUGAUAUUCCUGUACUAGAGUAUGUAGUGAUGGAGGGACGCAGUAGGCUAACUAAAGCAGACGAAUGGAAGUGUCUGUCUAAGCAGUGAGGUGUGAUAUGAGUCAAAUGCUUAUAUCUAUAACAUUGAGCUGUGAUGGGGAGCGAAGUUUAGUAGCGAAGUUAGUGACGUCACACUGCCAAGAAAAGCUUCUAGCGUUUAAACAUACUCUACCCGUACCGCAAACCGACACAGGUAGUCGAGGCGAGUAGCCUCAGGUGAGCGAGAGAACUCUCGUUAAGGAACUCGGCAAAAUGACCCCGUAACUUCGGGAGAAGGGGUGCUGACUUUAUGUCAGCCGCAGUGAAUAGGCCCAAGCAACUGUUUAUCAAAAACACAGCUCUCUGCUAAAUCGUAAGAUGAUGUAUAGGGGGUGACGCCUGCCCGGUGCUGGAAGGUUAAGAGGAGUGCUUAGCGUAAGCGAAGGUAUGAAUUGAAGCCCCAGUAAACGGCGGCCGUAACUAUAACGGUCCUAAGGUAGCGAAAUUCCUUGUCGGGUAAGUUCCGACCCGCACGAAAGGCGUAAUGAUUUGGGCACUGUCUCAACGAGAGACUCGGUGAAAUUUUAGUACCUGUGAAGAUGCAGGUUACCCGCGACAGGACGGAAAGACCCCAUGGAGCUUUACUGCAGUUUGAUAUUGAGUGUCUGUACCACAUGUACAGGAUAGGUAGGAGUCUAUGAGAUCGGGACGCCAGUUUCGAAGGAGACGUUGUUGGGAUACUACCCUUGUGUUAUGGCCACUCUAACCCGGAUAGGUUAUCCCUAUCGGAGACAGUGUCUGACGGGCAGUUUGACUGGGGCGGUCGCCUCCUAAAAGGUAACGGAGGCGCCCAAAGGUUCCCUCAGAAUGGUUGGAAAUCAUUCGCAGAGUGUAAAGGUAUAAGGGAGCUUGACUGCGAGAGCUACAACUCGAGCAGGGACGAAAGUCGGGCUUAGUGAUCCGGUGGUUCCGUAUGGAAGGGCCAUCGCUCAACGGAUAAAAGCUACCCUGGGGAUAACAGGCUUAUCUCCCCCAAGAGU